GUUUUUUUUAAAUGCCACUCUGAACAAGCUUGAUCUCCUCUGAUCUCAGAAGCUAAGCAGGGUCGGGACUGGUUAGUACUUGGAUGGGAGACCAUUCAGGAAGACCAGGUGCUGUAGGCA
rnacentral:rRNA from 1 species